UCGAGUUUGGUAUGCUGAACAACAAAUCUUAUGUGUUGUUAUCAGCCACUUUUACCAGUAUAAGAGAACGCAACGAAAAGGGGCAAUGUUUUACUACCAAACUCAUAGGAAUACCCAUUUUCCUGAGGACAGGAACUUAGGCUUGAUAUCUCCUCAUUUAAUCGAUCCUCAAAUUCAUGAGUUUAAGGCUUUCCGAAACCACAUUUUUAAUAUGUUAACUGUCAAUGGCCACACGGAUUCACAAAUUCUUAAUCCAAUGAUUUUUAGGAAAAGAAUCCUGUCCCUUUCUUGCAACGAC